rnacentral:misc_RNA from 1 species
GAUGAAGAACGUAGCGAAAUGCGAUAAGUAAUGUGAAUUGCAGAAUUCAGUGAAUCAUCGAAUCUUUGAACGCACAUUGCGCCCGCCAGUAUUCUGGCGGGCAUGCCUGUUCGAGCGUCAUUUCCACCAUCAGGCCCCCGGGCCUGUGUUGGGGACCUGCGGCUGCCCGCAGGCCCCGAAAUUCAGUGGCGGUCGCGCCGUAGCAACCGAGCGUAGUAACUAAAACGUCUCGCUCUGGCUCGCUGGGCGCGCUCCGGCCGCAAAACACCCCCCCUUUUCGCAAAGGUUGACCUCGGAUCAGGUAGGAAUACCCGCUGAACUUAAGCAUAUCAAUAAGCGGAGGA